rnacentral:rRNA from 1 species
GAUGAACGCUGGCGGCGUGCCUAAUACAUGCAAGUCGAGCGAACAGACGAGGAGCUUGCUCCUCUGACGUUAGCGGCGGACGGGUGAGUAACACGUGGAUAACCUACCUAUAAGACUGGGAUAACUUCGGGAAACCGGAGCUAAUACCGGAUAAUAUAUUGAACCGCAUGGUUCAAUAGUGAAAGACGGUUUUGCUGUCUCUUAUAGAUGGAUCCGCGCCGCAUUAGCUAGUUGGUAAGGUAACGGCUUACCAAGGCAACGAUGCGUAGCCGACCUGAGAGGGUGAUCGGCCAAACUGGAACUGAGACACGGUCCAGACUCCUACGGGAGGCAGCAGUAGGGAAUAUUCCGCAAUGGGCGAAAGCCUGACGGAGCAAAGCCGCGUGAGUGAUGAAGGUCUUCGGAUCGUAAAACUCUGCUAUUAGGGAAGAACAAAAGUGUAAGUAACUAUGCACGUCUUGACGGUACCUAAUCAGAAAGCAACGGCUAACUACGUG